UGCUGCGCAACUCCCAUUCCUACCUCUGCGUGGUACCGGCUGGAAACUACGAGCAACCUUAGGGAAGAUCGGGUAACCCCGAUGGUAGCUUUGGUCGUAGGCUGACAGAGAAGG
rnacentral:ribozyme from 1 species